GACGAACGCUGGCGGCGUGCUUAACACAUGCAAGUCGAACGAAGUGGCGAACGGGUGAGUAAUACGUGUGUAACCUGCCCUCCUUUUUGGGAUAAGCCUUGGAAACGGGGUCUAAUACCGCAUAAAGGGGGAUGGGCUCGCGGCCUAUCAGCUGGUUGGUGGGGUGAUGGCCUCCCAAGGCGGUGACGGGUAGCCGGCCUGGGAGGGUGACCCGGCACAUUGGAACUGAGAUACAGCCCAAACGCGUACGGGAGGCAGCAGUGGGGGAUAUUGCACAAUGGGCGAAAGCCUGAUGCAGCGACGCCGCGUGGGGGAUGAAGGCUUUCGGGUUGUAAACCUCUUUCGCUAUCGAAGGGGUAGGUGGAGAAGAAGCGCCGGCUAACUACGUGCCAGCAGCCGCGGUAAUUC
rnacentral:rRNA from 1 species